UCUGGGAAAGAAAAAUGGCUGCGCCCUGCCUACGGCUUGGAAUGAAGCAGCUCUUUAAGAUGCCGGCGGCAAUGGGGCACCAAGGCCGAGCUUACAGCACGUCCCAGACUUUUGCUGAGGUACUACGGCUGCCGAAGAAGCAGCUGACCAAGCUAGUGUACCCACUACAGGAACUCGAGCAGCACCUUGUUCCGGACUCAAUGCCCGACCUUCACCUGAGGGUCUUCGACCCUAGCCUGGAGGAUAUCUCGAGAGCGGAGAGUGUUUUCGCUUCCUCCGCCCGGAACCGUAUUGAGUACAUCAGUUCCGCUGUGCGGCUAGAUCACGCUCCGGACCUCUCCCGACCUGAGGUAUGUUUUAUAGGCAGAAGCAAUGUUGGAAAAUCGUCCCUAAUAAAGGCUUUAUUUUCAUUGGCCCCGGAGGUUGAAGUUAGAGUCUCCAAAAAACCGGGUCAUACAAAGAAAAUGAAUUUUUUCAAAGUUGGAAAGUAUUUUACAGUGGUGGACAUGCCAGGUUAUGGCUAUAGAGCACCAGAAGAUUUUGUUGACAUGGUAGAGGCCUAUCUAAAAGAACGAAGGAAUUUGAAGAGAACAUUUUUAUUAGUGGAUAGUGCCGUUGGAAUUACAAAAACAGACAAUAUUGCCAUAGAAAUGUGUGAAGAAUUUGCAUUACCUUAUGUGAUGGUAUUAACAAAAAUUGACAAAUCUUCCAAAGGACAUCUUUUAAAACAAGUACUUCAGAUCCAGAAAUUUGUCAACACUCAAACACAAGGAUGUUUUCCUCAAUUGUUUCCUGUAAGGGCAAUUUUGGUCACUCUGCAUCAGAGGAAGAGCACUCUGAAGAACAGAUUUGAGAGGGAAGAGGCUGGAGACAUGGAGACUAAAGAGUCUAUCGCAAAUGCUGAGGAUAGAAAUGAGGAAAGCCUGAACCUUCAAGCACUGGUGCUGGAGACUGAGAGUGUAACUUAGGUAGAGGUCUAGUAUUUAGAUUUUUACCUGUCUAGGGUGUUUUCUAGAUUUUCACCUUGCAUCUGAAAUAUAGCAUUCAGAAGAAGAACCAAAUUAGAUAGGUGGCAGGAAUAAUGAGAUAACUAUUGAUAUCCUGAAUUUGAGAUGACCCAUUGGCUGUUCACAAGAAAAUGUCCAAUUCACAAAUUAAAUAAAUAGCUGCAGUGUGAUUACAGAGGGAGAAAAUGGAAAUAAUGACUUUGAGAUAAUAUGUUUUAGAAGCCUAAAUGAGAAGGGAAGGCAGAGUUUAUGUGGUAACAGAGAGAAUCAAGAAGGGUAUUGUUUUCCUUUUUUCAGAUUUUUAAAGAUGAUGUGUUCAUCAGGGGUCCACCAGUCAAGCAAAAAUAGUAGCAUAUGAAGGUAUUUGUUAAAGAAAUUGGCUUAUGUGAUUGUGGGGAUUGGAUAGGAAAGUCCAAAAUAUGUAUAGCAGACUUGAAACUCUCAGGCAGAAACUGAAGGAGCAGUCCAUAGUGGAAUUUCAUCUUCUUCCUUCUUGUCUUUAGGGAAACCUGUUUUAAGUCCUUUCAACUAAUUGAAUCAGGCUCACUCAAAUUACUUGGGGUACUCUCCUUUGCAUAAAGUCAACAAAUUGUGGAUGUUAAUCACAUCUACAGAAUACUUUCACAGCAACACUUAGAUUAGUGUUUGGUUGAAUAACUAGGUACUGUGUAACCUAGCCAAGUUGAUUCAUGAAACUGGCCAUUGCAAAUGGAAAAUCACUUGAUCGUAUACAUGCUAAGAAGAAGGAAACAAAAAAGAGUAAGAAAAGCUGGACAUACUCAAGAGACAAAAGGAAGAUAAUUGAUGGACAAGACCCAUUCCAUUACUCAUUCAACAAAGUAUUUGACUAGCACCAUAUCAAGUACCAGAGGUGACAACAGGAAUGUAUCGAGUGCUUAAGUAAAGGGAUUGACUUGUCUAUCAAAGAACCUUUAGUAUCUGAGCCAGGAGGAAAAAUAAAGAUAGCCAUAGAUAUGGAUAUGUUUUGAAUGCAGUAAUAGAAAGAUGAGGGAGCCUAAAAAUGAGAGCCUUUGUAUUAGUAGAGGAGGAUUUGAGAUCAUUACCAAGAGUAGAAGAUAGGGAUGUUAUUCUGGAUGAAUAAUGGAGGGAAAUCAGAACUUUCUUGAACUGGGGUAUAUGGAAGGAAUGCAGGCUGUGUACAUAAGGAAGUCAGGUUUUAAGGCCAUGCUUUAAAUUUCCUGUACGAUGAAGAAAGACUGUCACAGAUGCAAAUGACCAAUAACUAUCAAAACUUUGUCCACCUCAUUAUCCAAGAAACACAAAUAAAAUAAUUUUGAGGUACUAUCAUAUAGACAAAGUAAAAAGUGUGAUGGACGUCUUGUUACUAGGUCUUUCCCAAAAAAUUUAGACUCGAAGUUAUCCUUCAUUGUUGUAAUCCUAAAAAUUGAAAAUGAUUUUGUAUCCACACAGUGAAUCUGUUCUAAAAUUUAGGCAGUGUAAUUACCCCCUACACACACACACACACACACACACAAAUCUUACAAGGAAAUCAAAUGCAUAAAAUAAAUACAUAAAACUGGAAUUGCACUUGUUAAGAAGCAUGGUAGAAUGCAGGGUUGUCCCAUUAAAGCCUCCUGCCCCAGGCCCCUAGAGGCAGAUCACAAGAAACUUUAGUGAGGUAGCUCUGGGAGAUAGAUUUAAAAAAAAAAAAAAGACCUUUAGUAGCUGGAGACCAGGAUUUAUGAGCAUGACUAGUCAUGCUUGUCUCUUUAGUUAGAUGAACAUAAUUUCCAGCAUAUGCUUGCAACAGAUCAACUAGAACAAAAAUAUAAUUUAAAUGCCACCAGAUUCAAAGACUUACACAAUGUACCCACAAAUGAUUUGCAGCUAGACUGUUUGACUAAAAAGACAUUCUGAAAUAUAGAAUGAUCAUCAUGGGUUGAUUUUCAAAGAAACUUGUCUGAGAACCUGCACAUUUCUUCCCAGAAAAGUUCUAUAUAUAAUCAGAGAGCUCAGUCAUGGGUGUGUCACUCAUCUUCUCUAAGAGGUGAGGGGCACCUGCACCCUACCUUCGGGUGUGUACACCUUUGCUGCCCUUAAAUAAAUGUUUGCUUGUGCCUUGCUUCCGAAGUGCCCUGAAAUUCUCUUCUGCGAUGAAAGUGAAGAACUUACCGGGCUGAGUUAAAGUCCAUUUCUUCUCUUUGGAGGGACGUCCUUACCCCCCACCCUCACCCCCUUCAGUGAUAAUUCCAUGAAAAAAAAAAAUAUGUAUCUACACAUUGAAGAGAGGAUCUGGGGGAUCCUAACAAAACCAUGAUAACUUUUCCAACAAUAGGGUAUAUCUUUCCUUCUAUGAACUUAUUUGUAUCUUCCAUUUUACAAGAAAAAUAGAAAUGUUGCUGUUAUAGUGAAAAAAAAAAACAACCUUAUUUUCAAUGCCAAAAUACUGUGCGCCAAAGUCUUAAGGUGUGUGUGUUUGUGCAUGUGUGAGCAUGUGUAUAUGCACCAAUAUAUUCAGAUAUACUUUUUGGCCCAUUCACCUAUGGCCUUUGAACUUCAAUCUGGUGCUUCAAACUGCUCUGUGAUGCUGGGACUGGGACUCUGCAAACUACUUUCUUUGCCAGUUGUUGUUAUUCCAAUACAGGCCACUAGAGGGAGGUUGAAGGCAGGAGGAGGAGAACUUACUUCUAAUGGUGUUGCCCACCAACAACCACUCUUCAGCCCAGAAAUGUUGAAAGAUAACCCUACGGGAAUCUUGGGAUUAUCCCAAUAUACAUGAAAUAAGAGUUGAAGAAAAGGAAGAGGUUGGGAAAGAGAAAGGAGAAAUGAGCUGCCAGCAAACAGAGAAAGGUGAGAUUGAAGCUUCAACUGCUAAGACAGACUCUCAUAGCUCCAUUCAUUUAAUUUAUCUUUCAUUUAUAAAUCUAGAUUCACAUUUUAGUAGACACGAAUAGCUUGAAGCGAACUUAUUCCCAUGAGCCUUUGCACUGACACCUUAAGUUCUGUUAUGGCUUGUUCAAUACGCAUUGUUUCCACCAGAGAGCAGCAGGAAGCUGUACACAUACUACCCUUUAAAUUGGUCACUGAAGCCACCAAGAGAAACCUGAUAAUCCCAGCUUCACAAACCCAAACAGAAUGGAGACAAAUCGAUUUAUACUUGGCAGAUGAGAUUCAGAUAAUCAAAGAAAUGUCUCCCAGGCAAAGUAGAAGCACAUGAUUUCCAGGCUUGGCCCCUGAAGAGGAGGCAAGUCAUGUGAUUUGAAGGCCUAGUUUUGGAUGGGGGUAGCAUAACCUAAAUUCAUUCUCAAGGAGCAGAAUCACCUGAUCCUGGAAAUGGCUAGGCUAAAAAGAAAAGAAAAAGAAAAAAGGAAAAAGCUGAUAAUCAGAUAAUUGGAUGUAUUUUCUCCACAUUAAAGACUAAAUGCCCAAAAAUUGGACUUGGAGAAAAUGGAAUCAUUAUUUCUCCUCUUUUAUAGCCUUGAGGCAAAAUUUCCAAGUCAAAUUUAUAAGGUGUACAGGGAUUUGGUUGCUUGUUUUGCUUUCUUCUCUCUUGCCAGUUACCUCCUGAGAGCUGGGCACGGAUCAGUGAGGUCCCUCCAUCAAGGCUGCCAGCAAGUCUGUGCCUGAUUUGGUGAGUUUCAGAAAAGGUACAAGUACUUCCUCCCACCAGGGCCUCUAAUGGAACGUAACACCUUAGAACUGUGCCAAGGGAAAGAGCCAAGCCACGUUUCAGUGUCUGCUGCUAAAGCGAGGAACCAUCUUUUCUGCCCAAGAAGCUGUUACUGGAAUCUUUAAAGUGCUGGAUUUAGAGUGCUGGUCAAGAAAGAUAGUCUGUAUACACCCAACAUUUCUAAGAUAUCCUUUAUCUGUACAAUUACACACACACACACACACACACACACACACGCUAAGAAACAGAAUUAGGAGAGUCAUGUUCCUAGAAGCUUUCUCUUUAAACCAGUAUUUAUUGCUAUCUAUUCUCAUAAAAUAUACCAUGGGAGAUGCUGGCAUAGCAAGAAUUUUGCCUCAGUAGUACAUAAGAAAACACGAUCAAAGCAGUGCGCAGAUAUAUUCAAAUAGUGACAAGGAACUACAGUGUAAUUAAGCCAGUAUGUAGGGUCACAUCUAAAAUUUAAAAUGAAGGGUAUUACCUCCAACAGAGGAUUAAUAUUCAGAAUAUAUAAAGAACUCAAAACCUUAAGACUAUAAAAACAAAUAACCCAGUCAUAAAUUGGCAAAAGAACUAAACAGACACUUCUUAAAAGAAGAAAUACAAAUGGCCAACAAAUAUGUGAAAAACAAUUCAAAAUCCCUGGCAACCAGGGAAAUACUAAUCAAAACUAAACUGAGAUUUCAUCUUACUUGUUGGCAGGACUGCAAAUUAAUACAAUCACUCUGGAAAGCAGUAUGGAUAUUAUUCAAAAGAAUAGGAAUAUAAACACCAUGUGAUCCUGUUAUACCACUCCUUGGUAUUUAUCCAAAAGAACUGAUCAGUAUAUCACAGAGAUAUGGGCACAUAUAUGUUUAUAAUAGCACAGUUCACAAUAGCCCAGUUAGGGAACCAGCCCAGAUGCUCCACCAACAGAUGAAUGGAUUUUUUUUUAAUGUGGUAUAUACACACAAUGGAGUUUUACUCAACCAUGAAGAAGAAUGAAAUUAUGGCAUUUGCUGGUAAAUGAAUGGAACUGGAGAACAUCAUGCUAAGUGAAAUAAGCCAGCCUCAGAAAGUUAAAGAUUGAAUGUUUUCUCUCAUAUGUGGAAGCUAGAGAAAAGUAAGGGGAAAAAAAUCAGGGAAUACCAUGAAAAUAGGCAGAAGAUCAGUGCAGUACAGGA